rnacentral:rRNA from 1 species
UGGUCGGUACAGGAGGGUUGACCCACCCGCGAGGGGAGCUAAUCCCACAAAGCCGGUCGUAGUCCGGAUCGCAGUCUGCAACUCGACUGCGUGAAGUCGGAAUCGCUAGUAAUCGCGGAUCAGCAUGUCGCGGUGAAUACGUUCCCGGGUCUU